rnacentral:rRNA from 1 species
UACGUAGGGUGCAAGCGUUGUCCGGAAUUAUUGGGCGUAAAGAGCUCGUAGGCGGUUUGUCGCGUCGAAUGUGAAAACCCGGGGCUCAACCCCGGGCCUGCAUUCGAUACGGGCAGACUAGAGUUCGGUAGGGGAGUCUGGAAUUCCUGGUGUAGCGGUGAAAUGCGCAGAUAUCAGGAGGAACACCGGUGGCGAAGGCGGGACUCUGGGCCGGAACUGACGCUGAGGCGCGAAAGCGUGGGUAGCAAACGGG